GUCUCCGUGGUCUAGUGGAUAGCGCACCUGUUUUCGAAAUUUUGAUCGCGGGUUCGAACCCCACCAGGGCCA